GACGAAAGUCUGAUCUAGCAACACCGCGUGUGCGAAGAAGGCCUAUGGGUCGUAAAGCACUUUUUGGAAGGAAUAGGAAGGAAUGUACUUCCAGAAUAAGUCUCGGCUAACUACGUGCCAGCAGCCGCGGUAACACGUAGGAGGCAAACGUUAUCCGGAUUUACUGGGCGUAAAGCGCGUGUAGGUGGUACUGUAAGUAGGGCGUGAAAGCUCCUGGCUCAACUGGGAGAGGCCGUUCUAAACUACAGAACUAGAGGAUGGUAGAGGGAGGUGGAAUUCCAGGUGUAGCGGUGGAAUGCGCAGAUAUCUGGAGGAACACCGGUGGCGAAGGCGGCCUCCUGGACCAUUCCUGACACUCAGACGCGA
rnacentral:rRNA from 1 species